GUGGCAAACGGGUGAGUAACACGUGGGUGACCUGCCUCAGAGUGGGGGAUAACGACCCGAAAGGGUCGCUAAUACCGCAUAACAUCCUGCUUUUGGAGAAGCGGAGAUCAAAGCCGGGGAUCGCAAGACCUGGCGCUCAGAGAGGGGCCCGCGGCCGAUUAGCUAGUUGGUGAGGUAACGGCUCACCAAGGCAACGAUCGGUAUCCGGCCUGAGAGGGCGGACGGACACACUGGGACUGAGACACGGCCCAGACUCCUACGGGAGGCAGCAGUGGGGAAUUGUUCGCAAUGGGCGCAAGCCUGACGACGCAACGCCGCGUGGAGGAUGAAGAUCUUCGGGUCGUAAACUCCUUUCGAUCGGGAAGAACGCUUUUCGCGUGAACAACGCGGAGAAGUGACGGUACCGAGAGAAGAAGCCCCGGCUAACUCCGUGCCAGCAGCCGCGGUAAUACGGGGGGGGCAAGCGUUGUUCGGAAUUACUGGGCGUAAAGGGCCAGUAGGCGGCCAACUAAGUCCGACGUGAAAUCCCCAGGCUUAACCUGGGAACUGCGUCGGAUACUGGCUGGCUUGAAUUCGGGAGAGGGAUGCAGAAUUCCAGGUGUAGCGGUGAAAUGCGUAGA
rnacentral:rRNA from 1 species